rnacentral:rRNA from 1 species
UACGGAGGGUGCAAGCGUUAAUCGGAAUUACUGGGCGUAAAGCGCGCGUAGGCGGUUUAUUAAGCCAGAUGUGAAAUCCCCGGGCUUAACCUGGGAACUGCAUCUGGAACUGAUAGGCUAGAGUAGGGUAGAGGAAGGUGGAAUUCCACGUGUAGCGGUGAAAUGCGUAGAUAUGUGGAGGAACAUCGGUGGCGAAGGCGGCCUUCUGGACUCAUACUGACGCUGAGGUGCGAAAGCGUGGGGAUCAAAC